CUUGGUCAUUUAGAGGAAGUAAAAGUCGUAACAAGGUUUCCGUAGGUGAACCUGCGGAAGGAUCAUUAUUGAAAUUAUAGGCGAGGGUUGUAGCUGGCCUUUCGGGGCAUGUGCACGCCGGAGCCCUUAAUCCAUACACACCUGUGAACUUAAUGUAAGGGUCCGUAAAAAGGCCCCUACGUCUUUCAUCAUAAACCCAGUCUAAUAGAAUGUAAUCUUAUGUCCUCGCCCUAAAAAAGCGUUGAUAAACUUAUACAACUUUCAACAACGGAUCUCUUGGCUCUCGCAUCGAUGAAGAACGCAGCGAAAUGCGAUAAGUAAUGUGAAUUGCAGAUUUUCAGUGAAUCAUCGAAUCUUUGAACGCACCUUGCGCCCCUUGGUAUUCCGAGGGGCAUGCCUGUUUGAGUGUCAUUAAAUUCUCAACUCCGAUUUGAUUUGUUUCUUAUCGGAGCUUGGACUUUGGAGCGUGCUGGCGUAAGGUCGGCUCCUCUUAAAUGUAUCAGCGGAAUCUAACCUUUGGAUUCUGGACAUCGGUGUGAUAAUAAAAGUUGCGCCGUCGUUCUACUUCAAAGUCCGCUUACAAUGGUCUUUUGACAAACUCUUAUCAAAUUUGACCUCAAAUCAGGUAGGACUACCCGCUGAACUUAAGCAUAUCAAUAAGCGGAGGA
rnacentral:rRNA from 1 species